GACGAACGCUGGCGGCGUGCUUAACACAUGCAAGUCGAACGGAAAGGCCCUGCUUUUGUGGGGUGCUCGAGUGGCGAACGGGUGAGUAACACGUGAGUAACCUGCCCUUGACUUUGGGAUAACUUCAGGAAACUGGGGCUAAUACCGGAUAGGAGCUCCUGCUGCAUGGUGGGGGUUGGAAAGUUUCGGCGGUUGGGGAUGGACUCGCGGCUUUUCAGCUUGUUGGUGGGGUAGUGGCUUACCAAGGCUUUGACGGGUAGCCGGCCUGAGAGGGUGACCGGCCACAUUGGGACUGAGAUACGGCCCAGACUCCUACGGGAGGCAGCAGUGGGGAAUAUUGCACAAUGGGCGGAAGCCUGAUGCAGCAACGCCGCGUGCGGGAUGACGGCCUUCGGGCUGUAAACCGCUUUCGCCUGUGACGAAGCGUGAGUGACGGUAAUGGGUAAAGAAGCACCGGCUAACUACGUG
rnacentral:rRNA from 1 species